CGGCGUGCCUAAUACAUGCAAGUCGAACGCACAGUCGUAAAGGUGCUUGCACCUUUCAAGAUGAGUGGCGAACGGGUGAGUAACACGUUGGACAACCUGCCUCAAGGCUGGGGAUAACAUUUGGAAACAGAUGCUAAUACCGAAUAAAACUUAGUGUCGCAUGACAAAAAGUUAAAAGGCGCUUCGGCGUCACCUAGAGAUGGAUCCGCGGUGCAUUACUUAGUUGGUGGGGUAAAGGCCUACCAAGACAAUGAUGCAUAGCCGAGUUGAGAGACUGAUCGGCCACAUUGGGACUGAGACACGGCCCAAACUCCAACGGGAGGCUGCAGUAGGGAAUCUUCCACAAUGGGCGAAAGCCUGAUGGAGCAACGCCGCGUGUGUGAUGAAGGCUUUCGGGUCGUAAAGCACUGUUGUAUGGGAAGAACAGCUAGAAUAGGAAAUGAUUUUAGUUUGACGGUACCAUACCAGAAAGGGACGGCUAAAUACGUGCCAGCAGCCGCGGUAAUACGUAUGUCCCGAGCGUUAUCCGGAUUUAUUGGGCGUAAAGCGAGCGCAGACGGUUUAUUAAGUCUGAUGUGAAAGCCCGGAGCUCAACUCCGGAAUGGCAUUGGAAACUGGUUAACUUGAGUGCAGUAGAGGUAAGUGGAACUCCAUGUGUAGCGGUGGAAUGCGUAGAUAUAUGGAAGAACACCAGUGGCGAAGGCGGCUUACUGGACUGCAACUGACGUUGAGGCUCGAAAGUGUGGGUAGCAAACAGGAUUAGAUACCCUGGUAGUCCACACCGUAAACGAUGAACACUAGGUGUUAGGAGGUUUCCGCCUCUUAGUGCCGAAGCUAACGCAUUAAGUGUUCCGCCUGGGGAGUACGACCGCAAGGUUGAAACUCAAAGGAAUUGACGGGGACCCGCACAAGCGGUGGAGCAUGUGGUUUAAUUCGAAGCAACGCGAAGAACCUUACCAGGUCUUGACAUCCUUUGAAGCUUUUAGAGAUAGAAGUGUUCUCUUCGGAGACAAAGUGACAGGUGGUGCAUGGUCGUCGUCAGCUCGUGUCGUGAGAUGUUGGGUUAAGUCCCGCAACGAGCGCAACCCUUAUUGUUAGUUGCCAGCAUUCAGAUGGGCACUCUAGCGAGACUGCCGGUGACAAACCGGAGGAAGGCGGGGACGACGUCAGAUCAUCAUGCCCCUUAUGACCUGGGCUACACACGUGCUACAAUGGCGUAUACAACGAGUUGCCAACCCGCGAGGGUGAGCUAAUCUCUUAAAGUACGUCUCAGUUCGGAUUGUAGUCUGCAACUCGACUACAUGAAGUCGGAAUCGCUAGUAAUCGCGGAUCAGCACGCCGCGGUGAAUACGUUCCCGGGUCUUGUACACACCGCCCGUCACACCAUGGGAGUUUGUAAUGCCCAAAGCCGGUGGCCUAACCUUUUAGGAAGGAGCCCUCUAAGGCAGGACCAGA
rnacentral:rRNA from 1 species